rnacentral:rRNA from 1 species
CCUACGGGGGGCAGCAGUGGGGAAUAUUGGGCAAUGGGCGCAAGCCUGACCCAGCAACGCCGCGUGAAGGAAGAAGGCUUUCGGGUUGUAAACUUCUUUUAUUGAGGACGAAACAAAUGACGGUACUCAAUGAAUAAGCCACGGCUAACUACGUGCCAGCAGCCGCGGUAAUACGUAGGUGGCAAGCGUUAUCCGGAUUUACUGGGUGUAAAGGGCGUGUAGGCGGGACUGCAAGUCAGAUGUGAAACCCAGGGGGUCAACCCAGGGCCUGCAUUUGACACUGUAGUUCUUGAGUGAGGGAGAGGGAGGCGGAAUGCGGGGUGUAGCGGUGAAAUGCGUAGAUAUACGGAGGAACACCAGGGGCGAAGGCGGCCUGCUGGACAUUAACUGACGCUGAGGCGCGAAAGCGUGGGGAGCGAACAGGAGUAGAUACCCUGGUAGUC